ACCGGCGCACGGGUGAGUAACGCGUAUCCAACCUGCCCAUGUCUGGGGAAUAACCCGUCGAAAGGCGGACUAACUCCCCACGGACAUGGAUGGGGAUGCGUCUGAUUAGGUAGUAGGCGGGGUAACGGCCCACCUAGCCUACGAUCAGUAGGGGUUCUGAGAGGAAGGUCCCCCACAUUGGAACUGAGACACGGUCCAAACUCCUACGGGAGGCAGCAGUGAGGAAUAUUGGUCAAUGGACGAGAGUCUGAACCAGCCAAGUAGCGUGCAGGAUGACGGCCUAUGGGUUGUGAACUGCUUUUGCGCGGGGAUAGGUACCGCGCGAAUAAGGACCGGCUAAUUCCGUGCCAGCAGCCGCGGUAAUACGGAAGGUCCGGGCGUUAUCCGGAUUUAUUGGGUUUAAAGGGAGCGUAGGCCGUGAGGUAAGCGUGUUGUGAAAUGUAGGCGCCCAACGUCUGCACUGCAGCGCGAACUGCCCCACUUGAGUGCGCGCAAC
rnacentral:rRNA from 1 species